GAUGAACGCUGGCGGCGUGCCUAAUACAUGCAAGUCGAGCGAACGGACGAGAAGCUUGCUUCUCUGAUGUUAGCGGCGGACGGGUGAGUAACACGUGGAUAACCUACCUAUAAGACUGGGAUAACUUCGGGAAACCGGAGCUAAUACCGGAUGAUAUUUUGAACCGAAUGGUUCAAAAGUGAAAGACGGUCUUGCUGUCACUUCUAGAUGGAUCCGCGCUGCAUUAGCUAGUUGGUAAGGUAACGGCUUACCAAGGCAACGAUGCAUAGCCGACCUGAGAGGGUGAUCGGCCACACUGGAACUGAGAAACGGUCCAGACUCCUACGAGAGGCAACAGUAGGGAAUAUUCCGCAAUGGGCGAAAGCCUGACGGAGCAACGGCGCGUGAGUGAUGAAGGUCUUCGGAUCGUAAAACUCUGUUAUUAGGGAAGAACAUAUGUGUAAGUAACUGUGCACAUCUUGACGGUACCUAAUCAGAAAGCCACGGCUAACUACGUG
rnacentral:rRNA from 1 species